rnacentral:rRNA from 1 species
UACGAAGGGGGCUAGCGUUGCUCGGAAUCACUGGGCGUAAAGCGCACGUAGGCGGAUUCUUAAGUCAGGGGUGAAAUCCUGGAGCUCAACUCCAGAACUGCCUUUGAUACUGAGGGUCUUGAGUUCGGGAGAGGUGAGUGGAACUGCGAGUGUAGAGGUGAAAUUCGUAGAUAUUCGCAAGAACACCAGUGGCGAAGGCGGCUCACUGGCCCGGUACUGACGCUGAGGUGCGAAAGCGUGGGGAGCAACAGG